GACGAACGCUGGCGGCGUGCUUAACACAUGCAAGUCGAACGAUGAAGCCGGAGCUUGCUCUGGUGAAUUAGUGGCGAACGGGUGAGUAACACGUGAGUAACCUGCCCUUGACUCUGGGAUAACUGCGGGAAACUGUAGCUAAUACCGGAUACGACCCUCGGAGGCAUCUCCUGGGGGUGGAAAGAAUUUCGGUCAAGGAUGGACUCGCGGCCUAUCAGCUAGUUGGUGAGGUAAAGGCUCACCAAGGCGACGACGGGUAGCCGGCCUGAGAGGGUGACCGGACACACUGGGACUGAGACACGGCCCAGACUCCUACGGGAGGCAGCAGUGGGGAAUAUUGCACAUUGGGCGCGAGCCUGAUGCAGCAACGCCGCGUGGGGGAUGACGGCCUUCGGGUUGUAAACCUCUUUUAGUAGGGAAGAAGCGAAAGUGACGGUACCUGCAGAAAAAGCACCGGCUAACUACGUGCCAGCCGCCGCAGUAA
rnacentral:rRNA from 1 species